rnacentral:lncRNA from 1 species
UUUAAUGAAAAUUCCUACUAGUAUAUGAAAGUGACAAAAUAAGAGACUCUCUAUCAUGAAGAUCAUGGUGCUACUUUGAAGCACAAGUGUGGAAAAAAGGAUAGUAACAUUGCCCCUUCUCUCUUUUUCUCUCAUUUUUUUGGGACCUCUUUUUUUUGACCUUUCUCUUUUUUUGGGCCUUCUCUUUUUUAUUUGGCCUUUCUAUUUUUUAUUUCCUCAUAUGGGACAAUCCUCUAAUAAUGAUGAUCACCACACUUCUAUUUAUUUACAACUCAAGAAUUACAACUCGAUACUUAGAACAAAAAUAUGACCCCAUGUAGAUGCCUCCGGCGGUGUACCGGGAUGUGCAAUGAAUCAAGAGUGACAUGUAUGAAAAAUUAUGAACAGUGGCUUUGCCACAAAUACGAUGUCAACUACAUGACCAUGCAAGGCAAUAUGACAAUGCUAAAGCAUGUCAUAAUAAACGGAACGGUGGAAGUUGCAUGGCAAUGUAUCUCGGAAUGGCUAUGGAAAUGCCAUAAUAAGUAGGUAUGGUGGCUGUUUUGAGGAAGAUAUAAGGAGGCUUAUGUGUGAUAGAGCAUAUCAUAUCACGGGGUUUGGAUGCACCGGCGAUGUUUGCACCAACUCUCGAGGUGAGAAAGGGCAAUGCACAGUACCGAAGAGGCUAGGAAUGAUGGAAGGGUGAGAGUGCGUAUAAUCCAUGGACUCAGCAUUAGUCAUAAAGAACUCACAUACUUAUUGCAAAAAUCUACAAGUCAUCAAAACCAAGCACUACGCGCAUGCUCCUAGGGGGAUAGAUUGGUAGGAAAAGACCACCGCUCGUCCCCGACUGCCACUCAUAAGGAUGACAAUCAAAGAACACCUCAUGCUUCAAAUUUGUCACACAACGGUUACCAUACGUGCAUGCUAUGGGACUUGCAAACCUCAACACAAGUAUUUCUCAAUUUCACAAUUACUCAACUAGCACAACUCUAAUAUCACCAUCUUUAUCUCUCAAAACAAUUAUCAAGUAUCAAACUUCUCAUAGCAUUUAAUGCACUCUAUAUGAAAGUUUUUAUUAUACCCAUCUUGGAUGCCUAUCAUAUUAGGACUAAUUUUAUAGCCAAAGCAAAUUACCAUGCUGUUCUAAAAGACUCUCAAAAUAAUACUCCCUCCGUCCCAUAAUAUAAGAGCAUUUUUGACACUACACUAGUGUCAAAAACGCUCUUAUAUUAUGGGACAGAGGGAGUAUAAGUGAAGCAUGAGAGAUCAACAAUUUCAAAAUAAAACUACCGCCAUGUUCUAAGAAGAUAUAAGUGAAGCACUAGAGCAAAUGACAAACUACUCCAAAAGAUAUAAGUGAAGAUCAAUGAGUAGUUGAAUAAUUAUGUAACUAUGUAAAGACUCUAUAACAUUUAAGAAUUUCAGAUCUUGUUAUUUUAUUCAAACAGGAAGAAAAACAAAAUAAAAUAAAAUGACGCUCCAAGCAAAACACAUAUCAUGUGGUGAAUAAAAAUAUAGCUCCAAGUAAAGUUACCGAUGAACGAAGACGAAAGAGGGGAUGCCAUCCGGGGCAUCCCCAAGCUUAGGCUCUUGGUUGUCCUUGAAUAUUACCUUGGGGUGCCUUGGGCAACCCCAAGCUUAGGCUCUUGAC